UACAGAGGUCUCAAGCGUUGUUCGGAUUCAUUGGGCGUAAAGGGUGCGUAGGCGGCGCGGUAAGUCGGGUGUGAAAUUUCGAGGCUUAACUUCGAAACUGCAUUCCAUACUGCGGUGCUUGAGGACUGGAGAGGAGACUGGAAUUUACGGUGUAGCAGUGAAAUGCGUAGAGAUCGUAAGGAAGACCAGUGGCGAAGGCGGGUCUCUGGACAGUUCCUGACACUGAGGCACGAAGGCCAGGGGAGCAAACGGG
rnacentral:rRNA from 1 species